AUUUUUUUUCCCAUUCUCCUCUCAUUUUUUUGGCUUUCCUUGGGAGAAGAUGGUAAACUUUGGAUGAUCUUCCUCCUUAUUGCUAAGCUAGCUCCUAGAUCCAUCAUCCAUUCUUUUCUCCUUGGGUAUUAGAGGAAAUGACUGCUCGUCUCGAGGCUGGGAGCCGAUGGGGAUUAGAGCAUCCAGGAAUUUUAAAUCAUCUAAGUUUUGGUGACAUCCUACUGCAGUAGACGGUUUCUAUGACCAGCCUGUUGAGGUGGCGUGGAAGACCUGCUGAGUUUUUGGUUCAGUUUAGGUGGGAGUGUAGAGCCCUAAUUGGAUAUUCAUCGGGAAGCUAGGGUUACCAUACGGUGAACCGAUGGGUCAACGUUAAGGGCAUGAGUAUUUUGACGACUUUGAACCUAGCCGUGGCCACGACCAAGGUUUAGAGAUAAUUCUAGACCACUACUUGCUGGUUGCGUUGUGAUGCCAUCUUAAAUUUGUGGUGAGGGGGCGAAGCCCAGCUGUUACUCUUAGGAGAACAGUCUCCCCCAAAUUUGA